rnacentral:lncRNA from 1 species
CAUGCGGCGAUCGAGGACUUUGGUCUGGUUGCUUGCUUGGAUUUGAUCAAUCCCCGCGGGAUCGAAGAGAAAAGUGUGGGGAGAAGUGCGUAACGGGCUCGCCUUGCCGGUAAGUCUCUCGCAGCAUUUGUUUAAGCUCGUGAAAUCUAACGCCUUUGUUUUGCAUCAGGAGAGGAGGGAUUUUAAUUGUUCUUCGCUGUCGGGAUUAAGCAGCUGGAAGUUUGUUUCUUUUUCUGCGUUUCUCGGACAUCGCUGAUCAGGCUUCUCUUUAAAUACUGGUAAAAAUCUCUGUUUUUUUGGUCUUUGCGGAGCUCCAGAGAGGUCAGUCUCGUCACUUUGCUUCAAAGCUCGUUUUAAAGUUUAAACUUCUGGCAUUGCUUGACACUUCCAAUGGCAGGCUCGAAGGAUUCGAUCGAGAGAAGCGAGUCUUACUCCCUCUCAACAGGCAGGCAGACAUGAUCAAGAAAAAACAAUUCUCGAGAUCGCGAAGAUAAAUGGCCA